GUGUGUGUGCGCGCGCUACACACAAUAAGUGCAUAGCAAAGCCAAGGUUCAAAGCUUCCUCUCCCCGGCCCGUGGCCCAGUCAUCUAAAACGACCUGUUAUAAAUAGCCAAAUAGCAAGUAGAGAGUAAGGUUCAUGGAAGAAAGAAUGGCUCAGCUGAUAAAGUGUUUGCUGCAUAAGCAUGAGGACCUGAGUACGAUUCCAGCACCCACACAAAAAGCCAGGCUGAUGUGGAAUAAGCCUACUGUACACUGUGACUGUGUAUUACUCUCAUUGAGUAAUAAAAAGCUAACUGGCCUGUGCUGGGCAGGAAGAGAUUGGGUAGGAGUGCCAGACUAGGAGGAUGCUGGGAAGAGGAAGGGUGGAGUCUGGAGUCUCCAGCAGGCGCAGGGAGAAGGAAGAUGAGCAUGUGGUGCUGAGAAAAGGCGACCACAGCUGCUAAAAUGAGUUCAUGCGUGCAAUGUCCCUGCUGUGUCCAGGAAACUCUGGUGCAUGCUCCCGUAGAUGGUCCCACAUCAUAUACACAUGAACAAGUUGGAGAGAUGACAUGACAUGUUCUGGGGAAUCCAGGAGGAGUUGAAGAGGGGGGCUAAGGGGUGGAUGUAAACAAAAUAUAAUGUCUAGAUUUAUGAAGUUUUCAAAGAGCGAAUAAAAAUUAUUUUUAAAAGAGUUCACACAUCAUAA
rnacentral:lncRNA from 1 species